GAUGAACGCUGGCGGCGUGCCUAAUACAUGCAAGUCGAGCGAACAGACGAGGAGCUUUCUCCUCUGACGUUAGCGGCGGACGGGUGAGUAACACGUGGAUAACCUACCUAUAAGACUGGGAUAACUUCGGGAAACCGGAGCUAAUACCGGAUAAUAUAUUGAACCGCAUGGUUCAAUAGUGAAAGACGGUUUUGCUGUCACUUAUAGAUGGAUCCGCGCCGCAUUAGCUAGUUGGUAAGGUAACGGCUUACCAAGGCAACGAUGCGUAGCCGACCUGAGAGGGUGAUCGGCCACACUGGAACUGAGACACGGUCCAGACUCCUACGGGAGGCAGCAGUAGGGAAUCUUCCGCAAUGGGCGAAAGCUUGACGGAGCAACGCCGCGUGAGUGAUGAAGGUCUUCGGAUCGUAAAACUCUGUUAUUAGGGAAGAACAAAUGUGUAAGUAACUAUGCACGUCUUGACGGUACCUAUCAGAAAGCCACGGCUAACUACGUG
rnacentral:rRNA from 1 species